rnacentral:rRNA from 1 species
ACGGAAGGCAGCAGUGGGGAAUAUUGCACAAUGGGGGGAACCCUGAUGCAGCGACGCCGCGUGAGCGAAGAAGUAUUUCGGUAUGUAAAGCUCUAUCAGCAGGGAAGAAACAGGACGGUACCUGCACAAGAAGCCCCGGCUAACUACGUGCCAGCAGCCGCGGUAAUACGUAGGGGGCGAGCGUUAUCCGGAUUUACUGGGUGUAAAGGGAGCGUAGACGGCUGUGCAAGUCUGGAGUGAAACUCCGGGGCCCAACCCCGGAACUGCUCUGGAAACUGUGUGGCUCGAGUACCGGAGGGGCAGGCGGAACUCCUAGUGUAGCGGUGAAAUGCGUAGAUAUUAGGAAGAACACCGGCGGCGAAGGCGGCCUGCUGGACGGUAACUGACGUUGAGGCUCGAAAGCGUGGGGAGCAAACAGGAUUAGAUACCCUGGUA